AAGGAUCAUUAUCGUAGGGCUUCGGUCCUGUCGAGAUAGCGUCCUUGCCUUUUUUUUUUUGGAGCACCGUUUGUUUCCUCAGCAGGCCUGCCUGCUAUUGGGGACCCUUUAAACUCUUUGUAAAUACAGUAACCGUCUGAAAAAACAAACAAAAAAUCAAAACUUUCAACAAUGGAUCUCUUGGUUCUG
rnacentral:misc_RNA from 1 species